rnacentral:rRNA from 1 species
UACGUAGGGUGCGAGCGUUAAUCGGAAUUACUGGGCGUAAAGCGUGCGCAGGCGGUUCGUUGUGUCGGCGGUGAAAGCCCCGGGCUUAACCUGGGAAUGGCCGUUGAAACUGGCGAACUGGAGUGUGGCAGAGGGGGGGUGGAAUUCCGCGUGUAGCAGUGAAAUGCGUAGAGAUGCGAGGAACACCGAUGGCGAAGGCAGCCCCCCUGGCUAACACUGACGCUCAGCACGAAAGCGUGGGGAGCAAACAGG